UCCAGCGCCCCUCGCCCAGCGGCCGCGGCGGCCCAGUCACCUGCCCGGCCUGGGGCAAGGACUCGCGGAAGCGGAAGAGGGGUGCGGGCGCGGCCUGGGCGGUGGCGGCGGCUGCAGGAGGAGGAGGGAGACUGCGGGAGAACCUUUGGCGGCCGCAAGAGCUACGGAAGAGGCGGCUGAGGCGAGACGGCCCCUUGUAUCCCCGCAUCUCUGUCAAAAAAAGUAUUCUGGAUUCCAUUAUCCCCAUGUUUACAGAUGAAGAUUCUGAUGCUGAAGAAAUGAAGUGACUUCCUCAGAGUCACACAGCUAUUGAAUGCCUGAAGUGGGAUCAAGUACAAAUUGUGUUGCCUUAGGCUUUCAAGGAGAACUGUUAUUGAAGAUGGAUCCAUUUGGUCAGAUGUAGUAUUAAAGAAUGAAGAAAGAAAAAAAUUC